rnacentral:rRNA from 1 species
AGAGUUUGAUCAUGGCUCAGGAUUAACGCUGGCGGCGUGCCUAAUGCAUGCAAGUCGAACGGGGUCCCUUCGGGGGCAACCGUGGCGGACGGGUGAGGAACACGUGGGGAACCUGCCCAUUGGUGGGGGGUAGCCCGCGGAAACGCGGGGUAAUUCCGCAUACGCUGGCCGGGGGAUAGCCCGGGUCAGGAAAGGGUCUUCGGACUCGCCGAUGGAGGGGCCUGCGUCCGAUUAGCUUGUUGGUGGGGUAACGGCCUACCAAGGCGGUGAUCGGUAGCUGGUCUGAGAGGACGGCCAGCCACAGGGGGACUGAGACACGGCCCCCACUCCUACGGGAGGCAGCAGCAAGGAGUUUUCCGCAAUGGGCGAAAGCCUGACGGAGCAACGCCGCGUGGGGGAUGACACCUUUCGGGGCGUAAACCCCUUUUCUUGGGGACGAAGCAGUGACGGUACCCGAGGAAGAAGGCCCGGCUAACUACGUGCCAGCAGCCGCGGUAAUACGUAGGGGCCGAGCGUUGUCCGGAGUUACUGGGCGUAAAGCGCGCGCAGGCGGCUCGUCAAGCCUGACGUGAAAGCCCCCGGCUCAACCGGGGAGGGUCGUCGGGGACUGGCGAGCUUGAGGUCGGCAGGGGCUGGUGGAAUUCCCGGUGUAGUGGUGAAAUGCGUAGAGAUCGGGAGGAACACCCGUGGCGAAGGCGGCCAGCUGGGCCGGACCUGACGCUGAGGCGCGAAGGCGUGGGGAGCGAACGGGAUUAGAUACCCUGGUAGUCCACGCCCUAAACGAUGAAUACUCGCUGUUAGCGAUAUACAGUUAGCGGCUAAGCGAAAGCGUUAAGUAUUCCACCUGGGGAGUACGCCCGCAAGGGUGAAACUCAAAUGAAUUGACGG